rfam:Ixodes scapularis strain Wikel colony gcontig_1108379549477, whole genome shotgun sequence.
GUCAGGAUGGCCAAGCGGUCUAAGGCGCUGCGUUCAGGUCGCAGUCCGGUCUUCCGGGCGUGGAUUCGAAUCCCACUUCUGACA